rnacentral:rRNA from 2 species
GAACGCUGGCGGCGUGCUUAACACAUGCAAGUCGAGCGGAAAGGCCCUUCGGGGUACUCGAGCGGCGAACGGGUGAGUAACACGUGAGCAACCUGCCCCAAGCUUUGGGAUAACCCUCGGAAACGGGGGCUAAUACCGAAUAUUACUUGUGGUCGCAUGACUGUGGGUGGAAAGUUUUUCGGCUUGNGAUGGGCUCGCGGCCUAUCAGCUUGUUGGUGGGGUGAUGGCCUACCAAGGCGACGACGGGUAGCCGGCCUGAGAGGGCGACCGGCCACACUGGGACUGAGACACGGCCCAGACUCCUACGGGAGGCAGCAGUGGGGAAUAUUGCACAAUGGGCGGAAGCCUGAUGCAGCGACGCCGCGUGAGGGAUGACGGCCUUCGGGUUGUAAACCUCUUUCAGCAGGGACGAAGCGGAAGUGACGGUACCUGCAGAAGAAGCGCCGGCCAACUACGUGCCAGCAGCCGCGGUAAGACGUAGGGCGCGAGCGUUGUCCGGAUUUAUUGGGCGUAAAGAGCUCGUAGGCGGC